rnacentral:lncRNA from 1 species
AUCCCUAAUCACAUUAAGGAGAUUUUUUUUUUUUUUUUUUUUUUGGUUUGCUUUUUUUUUNUUUUUUUAGGUCUGCACCUGCGGCACAUGGAAGUUCCCAGGCUAGGGGCCCAAUCAGAGCUGCAACUGCUGGCCUACACCACAGCCAGAGCAACUCGGGAUCCAAGCUGCAUCUGUGACCUAAUGAUGCAGCUUGGAUCACAGCAACGCCAGAUCCUUAACCCACUGAGUGAGGCCAGGGAACCCACAUCCUCAUAGAUACUAGUCGGAUUCGUUUCUGCUGAGCCACGACGGGAACCCCUUAAGGAGAUUUUUGAAAAUUAAAAAUGCUGUUAAGUAACAUCUCAUUUUUUCAUUAAUGAGACCAUUGUUUUAAAUAAAAAGGGCAAAAUCAAAUAUUAACUGUCAGUUCCCUUUGGAUAUAAAUCAUUUAGCAUUGCAUGUUAUGGGUCUCUGUUCCUGAGGUUAUGGUUCUAACACCUGCCCUCCUCAUCUUUUUAAAAAGUUUCCUAACCUCUUCCAAGAACAGUGAUGCUCUGAAAUACUCAGAGAUGACCUCAGUCACAGGUAGUACUUCUAAGUUCAUGAUACCAGUCCCUCAUUUCCUAAACACAGAUGCACUUAUUUGAGUGCCCCAAACUCAUUCCCAAAUGAAUACUGUGCCAAGGAAGUCCCACCUCUCAGCCGGUACUGUGGAAGCUCUUUGAAUUAAGACAAGAAGUCUGCCACCAGUGCAAGAUCAACCCUACUUGACCUGAGAGAAGCCAUUUCCCUUCUCACAGGAGUCACUGAGAACUUGGAGUUUUAAGGCAACUCAAAGUUUCUACUAUGGUGGCUUUGAUUUACCAGGAAAAUGUCAACCCUGCCUCUGCAUCUAGAAAUCCCUGGUCUCUCUUCCCAAGGCACAGGGUGACAUGAAGAGAGAGACACGUACUGUUCUCUCUCUUCCUCAGCUUCCCCUUCUGAAAGGGGUGUCAAGUCACAGCCUCCUACAGGCUUUGUUUACAGCAGGAGUCAGAACAAUUUACAGCCUGGCUCCUUCCUGGCCCCGAGACUGGAAUGCCUCCUUGGUUUGGUGAGCAAGAGCAAGAGAAAUCUCUUCUUGCACAGCCCUUGGCGCCCAGUACCUUAUUGCUGGGUAAUUCCCAGUGAAGGAAACCAUUUUGUCCAAACUAAAGGAUAAUCGAGCAUCAGCAUAACAGAGCUGAAGGUGCACGUGUACAAAACGGCACUUUAAUUUUGAGAAGAGUAGAUUCUGAGAGGUUUUCUUAGCAAAAGGAAAAGUAAAUCUUUCCCAAAUUAGGGAAGAAGUAAAAGAUAAUUUAGAGAAGAUGUAUUUAGAACAGUGGAGAAGUGCUUACAAAACUACAUUAGAUUUAAAAAGACAGGAGAAAUCUAAUUUAUAGUAUGAUUAUAACCGUGUAGUCAUGCAUAUGAUAAAAUAAGGACAGAAGUAAUAGGAGUUAUUGUAUAAAGUUAAUGUGGUUAUGAUUUUUUUCUCUGUCCUCAAAUUCUAAAAUAUUACAUUGCUUUUGUAAUGGACAGCAGAGGAAAACAAGAUUUUUUUUUUUUUUUAAAGAGUGAAGCAAGUUCUUGGUAAUAAACAGGGAAAUAGAUCUGGUGUUAAUAGAUAUUAUUUGCAUGCAAUAAGGUGACAAUUAAGUCACAAGUCACAAGUCCUAUUUGUGUCAUACUUAAAUUCAACUAACAUUUCCUGAAAGUCUCUUAGAUCCUGUGUCAAACUCUGGAAAAUUCAAUUUAUUAAUUUGUUCAGUAGAGAAAAUAAUCCUUUUCCCAAAUUUCCCUUUAUUUUUAACUUCAUAACUUCAAUGAGACACUUUAAACUGUCCAGAGACAGAGCAUAUCUUAGCUAUAUAUGGAAACCCAGUUGCUAGCAUUCUGCACAUAUUUAGUUCUCAACAAAACAUUUUUAAAGGAAAGAAACUAUGAAAGAAUGAUCUUCUGUAGUGGCUCAAGCAUUAUAUAGAACUAUGGUUCUCAAAUUAUGUGCCAAGGGGCCCUGAGGUACAGCAGUUAAUUCCUUGUUUUUAAUUUUAAAGUUUUAGUACUUUUAGGAGCUCCCACUGUGGCACAGUGGGGUUGGCAGCUUUGAUCACUGGCCCAGCACAGUAAGUUAAGGAUCCAGUGUUGAGGCUCAGAUCUUAUCCCUGGCCCGGGAACUCCAAUUUCUUUUCGGAAUUCCCAUUGUGGCUCAGAAGGUUAAGGACCCGAUAUUGUCUCUGUGAGGAUGAGGGUUCAAUCCCCAGCCUCACUCAGUGGGUUAAGCAUCUGACAUUGCCACAAGUUGUAGCCCCAACUGAACCCCUAGCCUGAGAACCUUCCAUAUGCCAUGAGUGUGGCUG